rnacentral:rRNA from 1 species
AGAGUUUGAUCAUGGCUCAGAUUGAACGCUGGCGGCAUGCUUAAUACAUGCAAGUCGAACGGUAACAUGCUCUUCGGAGUGAUGACGAGUGGCGGACGGGUGAGUAAUACAUAGGAAUCUACCUAGUAGUGGGGGACAACCUGGGGAAACCCAGGCUAAUACCGCAUGUUUCUUACGAGAUAAAGAGGGCCUCUUCAAAAGCUCUUGCUAUUAGAUGAGCCUAUGUCAGAUUAGCUAGUUGGUAGGGUAAAGGCCUACCAAGGCUACGAUCUGUAGCUGGUUUGAGAGGACGAUCAGCCACACUGGGACUGAGACACGGCCCAGACUCCUACGGGAGGCAGCAGUAGGGAAUAUUGGACAAUGGGCGAAAGCCUGAUCCAGCAAUGCCGCGUGUGUGAAGAAGGCCUGCGGGUUGUAAAGCACUUUCAAUUGGGAAGAAAGAUUUAGAGUUAAUACCUCUUAAUAUUGACGUUACCAAUAGAAGAAGCACCGGCUAACUCUGUGCCAGCAGCCGCGGUAAUACAGAGGGUGCGAGCGUUAAUCGGAAUUACUGGGCGUAAAGCGCGCGUAGGCGGUUAGUUAAGUUAGAUGUGAAAGCCCCGGGCUCAACCUGGGAACUGCAUUUAAAACUGGCUAACUAGAGUAUGGUAGAGGAGAGUGGAAUUUCAGGUGUAGCGGUGAAAUGCGUAGAUAUCUGAAGGAACACCAGUGGCGAAGGCGGCUCUCUGGACCAAUACUGACGCUGAGGUGCGAAAGCGUGGGUAGCAAACGGGAUUAGAUACCCCGGUAGUCCACGCCGUAAACGAUGUCAACUAACUGUUGGGCGGGUUUCCGCUUAGUGGUGCAGCUAACGCAAUAAGUUGACCGCCUGGGGAGUACGGCCGCAAGGCUAAAACUCAAAUGAAUUGACGGGGGCCCGCACAAGCGGUGGAGCAUGUGGUUUAAUUCGAUGCAACGCGAAGAACCUUACCUACCCUUGACAUCCAGAGAAUCUGUCACAGAAUGUGCUCUCUUUGAGAGAAUUUGGUGACAGGUGCUGCAUGGCUGUCGUCAGCUCGUGUCGUGAGAUGUUGGGUUAAGUCCCGCAACGAGCGCAACCCUCGCCAUUAGUUGCCAGCAUUAAGUUGGGCACUCUAAUGGGACUGCCGGUGUCAAACCGGAGGAAGGCGGGGAUGACGUCAAGUCCUCAUGGCCUUUAUGACCAGGGCUACACACGUACUACAAUGGCCGGUACAACGGGCAGCCACUUCGCGAGAAGGAGCAAAUCCCUAAAAGCCGGUCUCAGUCCGGAUUGGAGUCUGCAACUCGACUCCAUGAAGUUGGAAUCGCUAGUAAUCGCGGAUCAGCAUGCCGCGGUGAAUACGUUCCCGGGCCUUGUACACACCGCCCGUCACACCACGGGAGUUGGUUGUACCAGAAGCAGUUGGGCGAACCUUCGAGGAGGCAGGCUGCCAAGGUAUGGCUGGUAACUGGGGUGAAGUCGUAACAAGGUAACC